AUUGACGGUACUGUAUGAAUAAGGAUCGGCUAACUCCGUGCCAGCAGCCGCGGUAAUACGGAGGAUCCGAGCGUUAUCCGGAAUUAUUGGGUUUAAAGGGUCCGUAGGCGGGAUAAUAAGUCAGUGGUGAAAGUUUGUGGCUCAACCAUAAAAUUGCCAUUGAUACUGUUAUUCUUGAGUUAUUGUGAAGUGGUUAGAAUGUGUAGUGUAGCGGUGAAAUGCAUAGAUAUUACACAGAAUACCAAUUGCGAAGGCAGAUCACUAACAAUGAACUGACGCUGAUGGACGAAAGCGUAGGUAGCGAACAGGAUUAGAUACCCUGGUAGUCUACGCAGUAAACGAUGGUUACUAGCUGUUUGGCAUAAUUGAGUGCUGAGUGGUUAAGCGAAAGUGAUAAGUAACCCACCUGGGGAGUACGUUCGCAAGAAUGAAACUCAAAGGAAUUGACGGGGGCCCGCGCAAGCGGUGGAGCAUGUGGUUUAAUUCGAUGAUACGCGAGGAACCUUACCAGGGCUUAAAUGCAGUCUGACAGGGGUGGAAACACCUUUUUCUUCGGACAGAUUGCAAGGUGCUGCAUGGUUGUCGUCAGCUCGUGCCGUGAGGUGUCAGGUUAAGUCCUAUAACGAGCGCAACCCCUAUGGUUAGUUGCUAGCAGGUAAUGCUGAGAACUCUAGCCAGACUGCCGGUGUAAACCGCGAGGAAGGUGGGGAUGACGUCAAAUCAUCACGGCCCUUACGUCCUGGGCUACACACGUGCUACAAUGGUAUGUACAAUGAGCAGCCACCACGCGAGUGGGCGCAAAUCUCAAAAGCAUAUCACAGUUCGGAUCGGAGUCUGCAACUCGACUCCG
rnacentral:rRNA from 1 species